UACAGAGGGUGCGAGCGUUAAUCGGAAUUACUGGGCGUAAAGCGUGCGUAGACGGUUAUUUAAGUCGGGUGUGAAAGCCCCGGGCUCAACCUGGGAAUUGCAUUCGAGACUGAAUAGCUAGGGUACGGUAGAGGGAAGUGGAAUUUCCGGUGUAGCGGUGAAAUGCGUAGAUAUCGUCAAGAACACCGAUAGUGUAGACAGCUUACUAGGCUCUAACUGACACUGAGGCACGAAAGUGUGGGGAUCAAACAGG
rnacentral:rRNA from 1 species